UGUCAAUCAUUCGAGGAGGCGGGGACAAAGAAGUUGAUAAAACUAAAGUCACACCUCGAAAUAUCCAUUGAGCGAGGUAAGCUCAAGCAACUGGGUUAGCCACAUCUGCUUUCACCGAAAACCUCUUCGCCAAGAUGAAGCUGGUCUGCUCGUGGAUACUAGUUUUUGCUUUGCUUUAUGGAUGCCUUGCCAAGGAGAACACUCAAGAAAGCUCCAACACUGAAGAUGAGAAGCUCGACAUCAAGCCGCGCGCAUAUUACCCCCCAUCAGAAUGCAGAUCGUACACAAUGUUACACGGAGCCGAUCGUGCAAUGGCCAAUACCGCACAAAAUGCCCUCCGCUGUGACAAGAAUGAGUUUCCAGGUAACCUGUGGUACCGUUUCACUGGACAAGCAGGCAAUGCUAUGCCAACAAGUUGUGUACUUGAAAAACGCUGUGGAACCCACGCGCCUGGGUGGAUGGUGGGAGCUCAUCCCACUGUAGCCCAAGGUAUGGUGACUCGCAAGGUGUGCUACCACUGGACUAAAAACUGCUGCAGAUGGAGCAACUACAUCAAAGUCAGGAACUGCGGUGCAUUCUACGUCUACCAGCUUCCCAAGACACCAGUGUGCUGGCUUCGCUACUGUGGCAACGGCAUUCCUCAACCACCUGAGUGCCGAAGAUACACUGUCUUCAACAGCUUUGACCGAGCGAUUGGCAAUACCGCACAGAAUAGCCUCAAGUGUGACCAGAGAGACCUUCCUGGUAAUCUCUGGUACCGCUUCCUCGGCGCAGCAGGAAAUGCCAUGCCAACAAGUUGUGUACCUGUAAAACGCUGUGGUACCCAUGCCCCUGGAUGGAUAGUCGGAUCUCAUCCCAGCCUUCGUUACAGCCUGGUGACACGCAAGGUGUGCUAUCACUGGAGUGGAAGCUGCUGCAGGUGGAGCAACUACAUCAAAGUCAGGAACUGUGGUGGAUUCUACGUCUACCAGCUACCCAAGACACCCGUCUGUUGGCUUCGCUACUGCGGCAAUCGGGUAUCGCUUCCACCUCCUCCUCCAGGUUGGUGUUUUUUUGUGUUUAUGCCGAGAGUGCCGAAGAUACACUGUCUUCAACAGCUUUGACCGAGCGAUUGGCAAUACCGCACAGAAUAGCCUCAAGUGUGACCAGAGAGACCUUCCGGGUAAUCUCUGGUACCGCUUCCUCGGCGCAGCAGGAAAUGCCAUGCCAACAAGUUGUGUACCUGUAAGACGCUGUGGCACCCAUGCCCCUGGAUGGAUGGUCGGAUCUCACCCCAGCCUUCGUUACAGCCUGGUGACACGCAAGGUGUGCUAUCACUGGAGUGGAAGCUGCUGCAGGUGGAGCAACAACAUCAAAGUCAGGAACUGUGGCGGAUUCUACGUCUACCAGCUACCCAAGACACCCGUCUGUUGGCUUCGCUACUGUGGCCGUGGCUACUAAAGUAAUCAAAUAAAAUAUGCUUUGUCAACAACAGAAACGGAACGGAACGGAACGGAAAAUGAAGUCUGUAUAGCUGCUCUGAUGUUUUGACAUCAAGAGAUCUCUUCCAGAGUUGUGUUAUGUGGAGCAGGUCAUAGCAGCAUUGCUCGAAACUUGAACCACAGGAACAUUACCACUUAGUACUUUUACAAUAAAUGAGCAUUUAAAAA